rnacentral:rRNA from 1 species
AUUGAACGCUGGCGGCAGGCCUAACACAUGCAAGUCGAACGGUAACAGGAAGAAGCUUGCUUCUUUGCUGACGAGUGGCGGACGGGUGAGUAAUGUCUGGGAAACUGCCUGAUGGAGGGGGAUAACUACUGGAAACGGUAGCUAAUACCGCAUAACGUCGCAAGACCAAAGAGGGGGACCUUCGGGCCUCUUGCCAUCGGAUGUGCCCAGAUGGGAUUAGCUAGUAGGUGGGGUAACGGCUCACCUAGGCGACGAUCCCUAGCUGGUCUGAGAGGAUGACCAGCCACACUGGAACUGAGACACGGUCCAGACUCCUACGGGAGGCAGCAGUGGGGAAUAUUGCACAAUGGGCGCAAGCCUGAUGCAGCCAUGCCGCGUGUAUGAAGAAGGCCUUCGGGUUGUAAAGUACUUUCAGCGGGGAGGAAGGGAGUAAAGUUAAUACCUUUGCUCAUUGACGCUACCCGCAGAAGAAGCACCGGCUAACCCCGUG